GAUGAACGCUGGCGGCGUGCUUAACACAUGCAAGUCGAACGAAAAGGCGCUGCUUUUGUGGGUUGGUCGUGUGGCGAGCGGGUGAGAAAAACGUGAGUAAACUGUCCUUGACUUUGGGAUAACACCAGGAAAAAGGGGCUAUUACCGGAUAGGAGAUACUGAUCCACGGUGUGGGUUGGAAAGUUUCGGCGGUUGGGGAUGGACUCGAGGCUUAUCAGCUUGUUGGUGGGGUAGUGGCUUACCAAGGCUUUGACGGGUAGCCGGCCUGAGAGGGUGACCGGCCACAUGGGGACUGCGAUACGGCCCAGACUCCUACGGGCCGCAGCAGGGGAGAGUAUUGCGCAAUGGGCGGAAGCCUGAUGUAGCAACGCCGCGUUCGGGAUGACGGCCUUCGAGUUGUAAACCGCUGUCGCCGUUGACGAAGCGUGAGUGACGGUAAUGGGUAAGGAAGCACCGGCUAACUACGUG
rnacentral:rRNA from 1 species